CUAGUGAGUAUUAAAGACAGGCUUUGUUCCUGUCGUUAUAGACCUUGAGAGGUUAGUUGAAGAAUGGGAAGAAAAGCCAUAAAGUCAGAGUAAAACAUUAUGUUCAGUUGUGACAAUUAUGGACAGUAAGGUAGAUUUUUGUUAAGUAUUCUUUUAGUGUUAAGAAAACAAUUUUCUUCUCUCUCAAUUUCACAGAAUGCUCAAAUGGGGCAGAGGUUAGCUUAGUGAUUGGCAUGCAGUCACAUUUUGAGGGAUUUUCUUCAUUGGGUAGUAAAGGAAAAGUGGCUGGAAUACAUCAGAACGAAGUUGAAAAGUAGGUAUUGGAACUUGAACAGAAACAUCUUCUUGUCAUUAUCUGAAACCAUGAGGCAUCUGUGCAGUUCUGGUUAGCAUAC
rnacentral:lncRNA from 1 species